rnacentral:rRNA from 1 species
CAAAAGUUUGAUCCUGACUUUUCUAUCAGCUAUUGCUAAAUUUACACAUGCGAGUAUCUGCACCCCCGUGAGGAUGCCCCUACAACCCCCCGCCCGGGAACAAGGAGCUGGUAUCAGGCACAUAAAUCUUAUAGCCCACGACACCUUGCUUUGCCACACCCCCAAGGGAUCUCAGCAGUGAUUAACAUUAGGACAUGAGCGAAAGCUUGACCUAGUUACAGCAAAUGAGGGCCGGUAAAACUCGUGCCAGCCACCGCGGUUAUACGAGAGACCCAAGUUGACAGAUAUCGGCGUAAAGGGUGGUUAAGAUUUUACUUAAACUAAAGUCGAACGCCUUCAAGUCUGUGGUACGUUACUCGAAGGCAAGAAGCCCCACUACGAAAGUGACUUUAUUUAUCUGACCCCACGAAAGCUAGGACACAAACUGGGAUUAGAUACCCCACUAUGCCCAGCCCUAAACCCUGGUAAUUCAACACAUAAACUACCCGCCUGAGAACUACAAGCAUCAGCUUAAAACUCAAAGGAUUUGGCGGUGCUUAAUAUCCAUCUAGAGGAGCCUGUUCUAGAACCGAUAACCCCCGUUAAACCUCACCCUCCCUAGCUUUUUCAGCCUAUAUACCGCCGUCGCAAGCAUACCCUGUGAAGGACUUACAGUGUGCCAAAACAGCCUACCUCAGAACGUCAGGUCGAGGUGUAGCUCAUGAGAGGGGAAGAAAUUGGCUACAUUCCCUGCCUUACAGGGUACUUUACGAAGAAUGGACUGAAAUAAUCCGUCAGAAGGAGGAUUUAGUAGUAAGCAGAAUAUAGAGAGCUCUGCUGAAACCGGCCA